UACGGAGGGAGCUAGCGUUGUUCGGAAUUACUGGGCGUAAAGAGCGCGCAGGCGGUCGUUCAAGGCGCGUGUGAAAGCCCCCGGCUCAACUGGGGAGGGUCACGCGAUACUGAUCGACUCGAAGGCAGGAGAGGGAAGUGGAAUUCCCGGUGUAGUGGUGAAAUGCGUAGAUAUCGGGAGGAACACCAGUGGCGAAGGCGACUUCCUGGCCUGUUCUUGACGCUGAGGCGCGAAAGCUAGGGGAGCAAACGGG
rnacentral:rRNA from 1 species